GGCGAAAGGGUGAGUAACACAUAGACGACCUACCCCCCGAGACUGGGAUAACUUCCCCAACGGGAUCGUAAUACCGGAUACGAACCGGCGGUUUCGGCCGGCGGUUGAAAGAUGGGGACCCGCAAGGGCCUGUCACUCGAGGAGGGGUCUAUGUCCUAUUAGCUAGUUGGCGGGGUAAUGGCCCACCAAGGCGACGAUGGGUAGCCGGUCUGAGAGGAUGGUCGGCCACAUUGGGACUGAGACACUGCCCAGACUCCUACGGGAGGCUGCAGUCGAGGAUCUUCGGCAAUGGGCGCAAGCCUGACCGAGCGACGCCGCGUGUGGGAUGAAGGCCUUCGGGUCGUAAACCACUGUUAAGGGAACUGAAGGGUGCGGGUACCAAUACUAUCCGUGCCAUCUGACAGGACCCUAGAGGAAGCACUGGCUAACUCCGUGCCAGCAGCCGCGGUAAUACGGAGGGUGCGAACGUUGUUCGGAUUCAUUGGGCUUAAAGGGCACGUAGGCGGUCGACCAAGUCGGAUGUGAAAUCCCUCGGCUUAACCGAGGAACGGCAUCCGAAACUGGCCGGCUUGAGCGAAGAAGGGGAGAGCGGAACUUCUGGUGUAGCGGUGAAAUGCGUAGAUAUCAGAAGGAACGCCGGUGGCGAAAGCGGCUCUCUGGUCUUCUGCUGACGCUGAGGUGCGAAAGCCAGGGGAGCAAACGGGAUUAGAUACCCCGGUAGUCCUGGCUGUAAACGAUGGGCACUAAGUAGAGGGGUUU
rnacentral:rRNA from 1 species